UACGUAGGGGGCAAGCGUUGUCCGGAAUCAUUGGGCGUAAAGAGCGUGUAGGCGGUUCGGUAAGUCGGCUGUGAAAGUCCAGGGCUCAACCCUGGGAUGCCGGUCGAUACUGCCGGACUAGAGUUCGGAAGAGGCGAGUGGAAUUCCCGGUGUAGCGGUGAAAUGCGCAGAUAUCGGGAGGAACACCAGUGGCGAAGGCGACUUCCUGGCCUGUUCUUGACGCUGAGGCGCGAAAGCUAGGGUAGCAAACGGG
rnacentral:rRNA from 1 species